GCCCGGCUAGCUCAGUCGGUAGAACAUGAGCCUCUUAAUCUCAGGGUCGUGGGUUUGAGCCCCACGUUGGGCG